rnacentral:tRNA from 1 species
GACUUCGUAGCUCAGUCGGUAGAGCAAAUGACUCUUAAUCAUUGGGUCGAGGGUUCGAUCCCCUCCGGGGUCA